GAUGAAGCUGUUACGUCUGGCUCUCAGCGGUCUGCAGCAAGGUCCCAGUGUCGCUGAGAUGAUGGUGUCUCUGGGACCUGCAGAGAUCAGUCAUCGAUUCCAGAAGCUUCUGCAGCUUUCAGACAAUAAUUAAAGACUGAGCUGUCUGUCUGUCACCACAUCGCCUUACAUUCACUCUGCUGACUGAAGGGAACCUGAAGACAACAGCUUCUGUACGUUGAAAACAACAUGCUUUACCUCCCAAGUGGUGAUUCUGCUAAAAGUAAACGGGCUGCACUGGAAAUGAACUCUUCUCCUCUGAUAUGUUGAGUAAUACUUGAAUUAAUACAAAUAUUUUAUAAACUAA